CAGCCGCCGCGGUAACACGUAGGGUGCAAGCGUUAAUCGGAAUUACUGGGCGUAAAGCGUGCGCAGGCGGUCCGCUAAGACAGAUGUGAAAUCCCCGGGCUUAACCUGGGAACUGCAUUUGUGACUGGCGGGCUAGAGUAUGGCAGAGGGGGGUAGAAUUCCACGUGUAGCAGUGAAAUGCGUAGAGAUGUGGAGGAAUACCGAUGGCGAAGGCAGCCCCCUGGGCCAAUACUGACGCUCAUGCACGAAAGCGUGGGGAGCAAACAGGAUUAGAUACCCGCGUAGUCCCUGUCUCUUAUAC
rnacentral:rRNA from 1 species